rnacentral:rRNA from 1 species
AUGGCGAGCGCAGCAACACCUUCGGCCGUCGCCAUGGAGGAUAGCCAGAGCAUCGAGACGUCGUCGGAGAUAUCCGUGGCCGACGUCAUGACGUCGUUGGAAAAACUAUCGGCCGGCCUGGAGAGAGCUACAAGGUACUUCUGCGUGCUCAACAAGGUCGACACAUGGGCCGCUGCGUGCUUGGGACCGGAGCCGGUGGACGCCACGGCAUGCACCACAGCGCAGGCGGCACUGCUCAAGUGCAUAACAGAUCCAUCCACCUGCGACUCGGAGGAACCGCAGACGAACGAGAACUCCAGCUGA